rnacentral:rRNA from 1 species
AACGAACGCUGGCGGCAUGCCUAACACAUGCAAGUCGAACGAGAUCUUCGGGUCUAGUGGCGCACGGGUGCGUAACGCGUGGGAAUCUGCCCUUGGGUUCGGAAUAACAGUUAGAAAUGACUGCUAAUACCGGAUAAUGUCUUCGGACCAAAGAUUUAUCGCCCAGGGAUGAGCCCGCGUAGGAUUAGCUAGUUGGUGAGGUAAAGGCUCACCAAGGCGACGAUCCUUAGCUGGGUCUGAGAGGAUGAUCAGCCACACUGGGACUGAGACACGGCCCAGACUCCUACGGAGGCAGCAGUGGGGAAUAUUGCGCAAUGGGCGAAAGCCUGACGCAGCGACGCCGCGUGGGUGAUGAAGGCCUGGUCGUAAGACCCUGUCGCAGGGAGAAGUAAGAC